rnacentral:misc_RNA from 1 species
GGAUGAAGAACGCAGCGAAAUGCGAUAAGUAAUGUGAAUUGCAGAAUUCAGUGAAUCAUCGAAUCUUUGAACGCACCUUGCGCUCUUUGGUAUUCCGAAGAGCAUGCCUGUUUGAGUGUCAUGAAAAUAUCAACCUUGACUUGGGUUUUGUGCUCUAGUCUCGGCUUGGAAUUGGGUGCUUGCCGCUUUUACGAGCGGCUCACCUUAAAUGUAUUAGCUGGAUCUGUCUUUGAGACUUGGUUUGACUUGGCGUAAUAAGUAUUUCGCUAAGGACAUUCUUCGGAGUGGCCUCGUUUCUAGGACGCUUGUCCGCUUUCCAAUACAAGUUCCACCUCGUGGACAUGACUUUUUAUUAUCUGGCCUCAAAUCAGGUAGGACUACCCGCUGAACUUAAGCAUAUCAAUAAGCGGAGGA